GGAGGUCGAGCUCCAGGACCAGAUUGCCAAGGUGAUUGAGCGGCAUCUGGACGCGUUUGCAUGGUCCGCCUCGGACAUGCCCGGGAUUGAUCCCGACUUCUUGUGCCACCAUCUGGCGAUGGACAACUUGGUGAGACCGGUGCGACAAAGAAGAAGAAAGUUCAACGAGGAGAGGAGGCAGGCGAUUAGAGAUGAAACACAG
rnacentral:lncRNA from 1 species